rnacentral:sRNA from 1 species
CUUCUCCCCGCAAGCGGGGCGAAGGGGCGAAGGGGCUAAGCGGCAAGCGCCAGGCCUCUUUCGCCGUUGAAUUCGGGGCAAGGCGGGGCUGCGUGUCCCUUCUCCCCGCCUGC